AACGAACGCUGGCGGCAGGCUUAACACAUGCAAGUCGAACGGGUGUAGCAAUACAUCAGUGGCAGACGGGUGAGUAAUACGUGGGAACCCUCCUAGAGGUACGGAACAACUCAGGGAAACUUGAGCUAAUACCGUAUACGCUCGUGAGAGGAAAGAUUUAUCGCCUUUAGACGGGCCCGCGUCGGAUUAGCUAGUUGGUGGGGUAACGGCCUACCAAGGCGACGAUCCGUAGCUGAUCUGAGAGGAUGAUCAGCCACACUGGAACUGAGACACGGUCCAGACUCCUACGGGAGGCAGCAGUGGGGAAUCUUGGACAAUGGGCGCAAGCCUGAUCCAGCCAUGCCGCGUGAGUGAAGAAGGCCUUCGGGUUGCAAAGCUCUUUUGUCAGGGACGAUAAUGACGGUACCUGAAGAAUAAGCCCCGGCAAACUUCGUGCCAGCCGCCGCCGUAA
rnacentral:rRNA from 1 species